UAGAUGGAUCCAAAGUAUCUUCUGCCCACUGAUUAAUUGAAUGGCCGCAGUACUCUGACUGUGCUAAGGUAGCGUGAUUCUUGUUUUCUUAAUUAGAAAUCUGUUCAAAGAAUGAUAUGUAGAAAAUCUAUUGUUUUCAUACUAUAACUAACUUAAAUUAUUAGUGAAAAUUCUAAUAAAUUCUUAAAAGACGAGAAGACCCCAUAAAACUUAAUUUGACUUUGUAUUUUUACUCCUUAAAAUUUAAAUGGGGACUUUAGAGUAUAAUAAUAACUUGUUGACCUAUAAAUUUAAUAACUGAGAAGCUACUUUGGGGAUAACAGGGUGAGAUAUUUAAAGAGU
rnacentral:rRNA from 1 species